GAUGAACGCUGGCGGCGUGCCUAAUACAUGCAAGUCGAGCGAACGGACGAGAAGCUUGCUGCUCUGAUGUUAGCGGCGGACGGGUGAGUAACACGUGGAUAACCUACCUAUAAGACUGGGAUAACUUCGGGAAACCGGAGCUAAUACCGGAGGAUAUUUUGAACCGCAUGGUUCAAAAGUGAAAGACGGUCUUGCUGUCACUUAUAGAUGGAUCCGCGCCGCAUUAGCUAGUUGGUACGGUAACGGCUUACCAAGGCAACGAUGCAUAGCCGACCUGAGAGGGUGGUCGGCCAGCCUGGAACUGAGACCGGGCCCAGAGUCCUACGGGAGGCAGCAGUCGGGAAUCUUCCGCGAUGGGCGAAAACCUGACGGAGCACCGCCGCGUGAGUGAUGAAGGUCUUCGGAUCGUUAAACUCUGUUAUUCGGGAAGAACAUAUGUGUAAGUAACUGUGAACAACUUGACGGUACCUACUCAGAAAGCCCCGGCUAACUACGUG
rnacentral:rRNA from 1 species